UUGAGAUUCACGCGAAGAAAUUCUCUCCCUCUCCUCACUCGCGGCGGUGGCGACGAACGGCUGUGCAGCGACGGAGGUCCCUCUCCGGUCGAUUCCUUCUUGUCUCUCACUCUCAGAAUCUCUUCAUCUCUCUUGGACAAUCGGUGCAACGGAGCCACUCCUCUCUUUCUCACAGACGUGACAGCGACGGUGGUAUCAUCUCCGUCUCUGAUCAAGCACUCAAGUCUCCGUCUCAAUCGAUCCUCUCUCUCGGUUUGUUUCAACUUCAUUUCUAUGCCUUAACACGUUCUUCCUCUCUCGCGCUUCUCUGAUUCGGAUUCAAAUCGACCUAACAAACUCAUCCGGUAAACACCUUCAAUUUUUUUGUUGCUUUUUCUUCUUCUUGAUUCUGCUUCUUCUUCUAUCUUCUUCUAAUUCUUGUUUUAAUUUUCGUAUCUCUGGUAUUCCUGAGACUGAGAGAGAUUCGGUCGAUUGUUGCGAGAUUGAACGCAAUGAUGAAGGUGAUGUGCGUCGAAUGUGAUAUUGAUGCUGAGCAGUGAUGAUGAUGAAGAAGUAUUUGGAGGUGGUGAUAGAAGAAGAGCCAAGUUCGUGUAUGGUUUUCUGAGUUUUCUAAAGAUGAAGAUUGAUGAUUCAGUGUGGAGAUUGAUAGGUUGAAGUUUGAAAAUGGUUGUAGAAGAUUGAGGGAGGUUCAGAGAUGAAGAGAGAGUGGUGAGAAGUGGUGAUGAUGAAUGGAAGUGAAGGGGCGUGUGAAUUGAUGGUGUGAAGAUGAAUGAGGAAGAGAGUGAGAAAUGGUGGAGACUAUGGAGAUGAUUGAAGGUGGGAGAAGAAUGAAGAUCCAGAGAAAGCUCAGAGAUGAAGAAGCCUGUUAUAUAGAGGUUUCCAAGAGUUUGGUUCUGAGUUCAGAAGUUAGUUGAGCCUAGGGGAAUUUGAACUGUUUUGUGUUAUCAAAUAUAGGGUAGGAAUGAGAUUGGACCAUGGCUUGAAUAUGAGGCUGGCUGUAGGCAGAGCUUGAACACAUUGAUAAGUCCGAGUCCGAAUUUGAUUGUACGUAUGGCUGAACUGGUCUUUCAUAUGCAGGGCUGUUUUGAUGAUGUAGUGGUGGUUUAGUGUAUGGAAUUCUGUGCUGGGUGUAAGUUUAUCAUGAUGUGAAUGUGUUAGUGCGUAGAGCUUGCCAAGAUAACGAAGGUGUUAGGUUAGUAGGUUCAGAAUGUGAAACUUGAAUGCUCGGGUAGGCUGUUACAGUACUGAUGCAGGGUGUCAAGGCUUUGCAUUUGUUCUGAUGCUAUUUAUUUUAGAAACAUGAUAACUUAUGUGUACAAGGCUGCAAGUGUAUGUUGGUGAUGUGCAUGGUACAGAUUCUUGGUUGAUUGAGGAUCUAUGUUGGUUCAUGGACACUUGGAUGGUAAUACAUUGAUGUAUGAAGAUGCUUGAAGGCCAAUGGAGGAGGCAUGGUUAUGGAGUUUGCACUUUGUAGACAUGGGUUUUAGUAUAGCUUUUCUAUGUAAUUUUUGUUUCUUGUAUUUUCUUGUAAUAAACAUCUUUGAACUUUG